rnacentral:rRNA from 1 species
UACAGAGGGUGCGAGCGUUGUCCGGAAUUACUGGGCGUAAAGGGCGCGUAGGCGGUUCGAUAAGUAGGAGGUGAAAUCUCGCGGCUCAACCACGAGGCUGCCUUCUAGACUGUCGGACUUGAGCACGGUAGAGGCAGAUGGAAUUCCCGGUGUAGCGGUGGAAUGCGUAGAGAUCGGGGAAGAACACCAGUGGCGAAGGCGGUCUGCUGGGCCGUUGCUGACGCUGAGGAGCGAAAAGCAUGGGGGAGCGAACAGG